CCUACGGGAGGCAGCAGUGGGGGAUAUUGGACAAUGGGGGAAACCCUGACCCAGUGACGCCGCGUGAGUGAAGAAGUAUUUCGGUAUGUAAAGCUCUAUCAGCAGGGACGAAAGAAAUGACGGUACCUGAGUAAGAAGCCCCGGCUAACUACGUGCCAGCAGCCGCGGUAAUACGUAGGGGGCAAGCGUUAUCCGGAUUUACUGGGUGUAAAGGGAGCGUAGACGGUAAUGCAAGUCUGGAGUGAAAGGCGGGGGCCCAACCCCCGGACUGCUCUGGAAACUGUGUAACUGGAGUGCUGGAGAGGCAGGCGGAAUUCCUAGUGUAGCGGUGAAAUGCGUAGAUAUUAGGAGGAACACCAGUGGCGAAGGCGGCCUGCUGGACAGGAACUGACGUUGAGGCGCGAAAGCGUGGGGAGCAAACAGGAUUAGAUACCCCAGUAGUC
rnacentral:rRNA from 1 species